GAAGUACUCCCUCCGUUCGGAAUUACUUGUCGCAGAAAUGGAUGUAUCUAGAUGUAUUUUAGUUCUAGAUACAUCCAUAUUCGAGACAAGUAAUUCCGAACGGAGGGAGUAGAAC
rnacentral:pre_miRNA from 1 species